rnacentral:rRNA from 1 species
UACGUAGGGUGCAAGCGUUUGUCCGGAAUUAUUGGGCGUAAAGAGCUCGUAGGCGGUCUGUCGCGUCGGCUGUGAAAUCCCGAGGCUCAACCUCGGGUCUGCAGUCGAUACGGGCAAACUAGAGUAUUGCAGGGGAGACUGGAAUUCCUGGUGUAGCGGUGAAAUGCGCAGAUAUCAGGAGGAACACCGGUGGCGAAGGCGGGUCUCUGGGCCGAUACUGACGCUGAGGAGCGAAAGCGUGGGGGAGCGAACAGG